rnacentral:rRNA from 1 species
UACGUAGGGGGCAAGCGUUGUCCGGAUUUAUUGGGCGUAAAGAGCUCGUAGGUGGUUUGUCGCGUUGUUCGUGAAAACUCACAGCUUAACUGUGGGCGUGCGGGCGAUACGGGCAGACUGGAGUACUGCAGGGGAGACUGGAAUUCCUGGUGUAGCGGUGGAAUGCGCAGAUAUCAGGAGGAACACCGGUGGCGAAGGCGGGGUCUCUGGGCAGUAGCUGGACGCUGAUGCGCGACAGCGUGGGGAGCAAACAGG